GACGAAGGAUGCAAGCGUUAUCCGGAUUCAUUGGGUUUAAAGGGUGCGUAGGCGGACUGAUAAGUCAGUGGUGAAAUCUCUUUGCUUAACAAAGAAACUGCCAUUGAUACUGUCGGUCUAGAGUAUAGAUGACGUUGGCGGAAUAUGACAUGUAGUGGUGAAAUACUUAGAUAUGUCAUAGAACACCGAUUGCGAAGGCAGCUAACGAAACUAUAACUGACGCUGAGGCACGAAAGUGCGGGGAU
rnacentral:rRNA from 1 species